rnacentral:rRNA from 1 species
UACGUAGGGAGCAAGCGUUGUUCGGAUUUACUGGGCGCAAAGGGCGCGUAGGCGGCGCGGUAAGUCACUUGUGAAAUCUCUGAGCUUAACUCAGAACGGCCAAGUGAUACUGCAGUGCUAGAGUGCAGAAGGGGCAAUCGGAAUUCUUGGUGUAGCGGUGAAAUGCGUAGAUAUCAAGAGGAACACCUGAGGUGAAGACGGGUUGCUGGGCUGACACUGACGCUGAGGCGCGAAAGCCAGGGGAGCAAACGGG